CCUACGGGGGGCAGCAGUAGGGAAUAUUGCUCAAUGGGGGAAACCCUGAAGCAGCAACGCCGCGUGGAGGAUGAAGGUCUUCGGAUUGUAAACUUCUUUUGAUAGAGAAGAUAAUCACGGUCUCUAACGAAUAAGCACCGGCUAACUCCGUGCCCGCAGCCGCGGUAAUACGUAGGGUGCAAGCGUUACUCGGAGUCACUGGGGGUAAAGAGCGCGUAGGCGGGAUAGCAAGUCAGAUGUGAAAGCCUAUGGCUUAACCAUAGAACUGCAGUUGAAACUGUUAGUCUAGAGUAUGGGAGAGGUAGGUGGAAUUCUUGGUGUAGGGGUGAAAUGCGUAGAGAUCAAGAGGAAUACUGAUUGCGAAGGCGGCCUGCUAGAACAUAACUGACGCUGAUGCGCGAAAGCGUGGGGAGCAAACAGGAUUAGAUACCCUAGUAGUC
rnacentral:rRNA from 1 species